rnacentral:lncRNA from 1 species
AAAAUGAGAGCAAGCUUCCUUCCUCUGAGUCCUUUAAAUAAGCUUCCAGCAGAAGGUGUGGCCUUAAUCUUUUAAUCUUUAUCUUUCCACUUUCAAUGAUUUAAUUUAGGAAAAAGUCCCUGACAGGUGUGUCUAGAUACUUAGGUUUUAGUUCUUUUCAGAUGUGGUCAAGUUGACAGCCAAGAAUGGCCAUCACAAAAACCAAACAAAAUGCAAACUAAACAAUCAAGGAAGCAUAUUUGCUAAACUAUACAAGGGCAACUAGGGAGAUGCUUCAGUGGUUAAGAACAGUAACUCUCUUGCAGAUGACUUGGGUUUAGUUCCCUGCACGCACAUAGCAGCUUACAAGUACUGUCUGUAACCCCACUUCUAAGGGAUCCAAAGUCCUCUUCUAACUUUCCUGGGCAUCAAGCACUCAUGUGGUGCACAUACAUACAUAUAGGCAAAGCACUCAAAAUAAAAUAAAUAAAUCUAAUUCCACAAAACCAUACAAGGAUAGAUUAAUAACCUAACUUCAUAAAGUUCUUCAGCUCUCUAUUCAUACAACAGAAAUACUUGAAAAGGCCUUUCUUCCUCCCAGCCCAUCAGGGCCCUCCCUACCUUAGGUAUUUAAUUAAUCUAGAGUUAUGUAUUUAUUAGUUUCCAGGCACUUAAAUGUGCAGCCAGAAUUGAGGACUACUGAACUGGUCCCGAGAUCAAGACCAUUCCUGAUUUAUCCAGCACUGUAGUGUUAGCCCUUAUCAUUGGAGCAACUCAAACAUGGUAAGUGCUCAUAUGUGUGUUGACUAUUUCCUAAGUCCCUCAAUUUUCAGAUGUACAAGACUUCAGAGGUCAUUUGGGUAGGGGCUCUCAGGCUAACCGGCAAGUAGAACGGUGAAGCCCAGAUUUCUUAUCUUAUAGCUUUAGUUUUGGCCACCUUCCUUUGUACAUUUGCCUUCUUAAUUCUUAUAUUGUUCAAUGUCUGACUUCUACCCCAUUUCCUACUCCACACUGAAAAGGGAGGAAUGUGUCUUAGAUGCUUAGACAGAUAGCAGGCAGGACUGUGUUGCAGUCUCAGCCUGUGUUCUCUGUCGGCCCACCUCUAAGUCAAGUGUAAGUGGGGGAGAGGGAAAGGAGGCGAAGAAAUAUGCAACUGAAAUUCCAUAAAUAAAUAGAUUCCAUAAACUAAAGGCUCUAUUUUUAUUUUUUAAUUGCAUGUAUGUAUAUAAGUAUGUACGUUCUGUUCCCUGUGGAGGCUAUGGGCAUCAGAUCCCUCUGGAGCUGGAGUUAGUUACAGGUGGUUGUGAGCUGCCCAGUGUGGGUACUGGAAACUGAGCUUAGUCCUUGAGUCCUCUGCAAGAAUAGUUAACACUUUAACUGCUGAGUCAUCUCUCUAGCUCCCUCUUCCUCUUCUUCCCUCUUCCCCAUCUUUAAUGGAGCUCUCCAUCCCCAUUUCAGCAGUAAAGCAAUCGGGUUUUAGAAUACUUGACAUAUUUUAUUUUUAUAUUGUUUAUUUUAAUUAGGAUCUCAUGACUUUCUGUUAAGGUGAUUCCAGGUCCAUCUUCCCAUAUCCCAGUUGCUUUAUCCACUCCACUCUUGACUUGUGUAUAAGCUCCCCAGAAAAGCUCCAAAGAUGGUGGAGACCAAAUAGGAAAAGCUAUAAUGAAUUAUAAAGGAUAAUGUAAGGAAAUUGUCCCCUAAUUCAAUGUGUGUGUGUUUGUCCUCUGACUUCCUUUUAAAGAAUUGGAUUAUAAAAGUGAUAUAUUCUGUUUGGACCAGUCUAGUAACAACAAGGAAAGAUUUAAGAAAAAAAAAGUGUUUGAAGGUAUAGGAGGAGGUACAAGGCAGAAAGGAUUUGCUGGACCAAGGUUUAGAGAGAAGGCAACCCUGGAAGGAUAAGGGAGGCAUUCGGCACCAUUUGUCUCUGUGAAGCAGUUGCCAUUGAUGCACUGUUACCCGAGAUCAGAGCUCUGGACAGAUCCAUGGCAUGCGCGUGGAGGUCAGAAGACAGCUUUCAGGAGUCAGUGCCACCUUCUCCAUUGUUUCUGCUGCUCUGCAGAUUCCAGACUAGCUGGCCUGCAAGUUUCUGGGCACCACCGCAGCUGGCUUUUAACGUGGGUUCCGAGGAUCAGCCUCAUUGCCAGUGCUUUCACUCACUGAGCCAUCUUCCUGGACCUGACCUUUACAGUAUGUGUGUGCACAUGGUAAGGUAUGGCUGUGGGGUCAGAAGGUAAUCUUGUGGAGUUAGUUCUUAGCUUCUACCUCCCCAUGGUUCCAGUAAUGAAACUCAGAUCAGCAUCCGGGGAGCCGUCUCAGUUGCCUGCCUCUGCUUUUUAUGUUUGAGACAGUGUACACAGUGAUUGUUUUCUGCAUUAUAAACACAUGGGUAUCUUACUAUAUGCAGUAAAAGUGACAUUAUAUAUUUUAUGUAAAUUUAACCUCAGGACUGUUGGCCACGUGUAGUUUACAUAGUUACAUAGGCCUGUAAUGAACAGUUCUGAACAUGUGUAGACUUAAUUCUUGCCAUUCCUUUAACAGUAUAGCAUAACAGCUUUUUACACAGUAUUUACAUGACAUGAGGUAUUUAAAGCAGUUUAGAAGUUAUUUUAAACACACAGGGAUGUGCAAAUACAGUGGUGUUUUAUUGUUGUUAUUAUUUUAAUAUUUAUCUUUAAAUAUCUAUUUAUUCUAUGCACUGGCACAUACAAACCCAUGUGUACAAAAUAGAAUCAUGUCCCACACUGGAGCUAGUCUUCCCAUAGAUAAAAAUCAAAUGUGUCCCUUGGCACCGCAUCCUCCUGGCAGCUGAGAUUGCCAGCUGAGCAGCUUAGGGCCCUGUUGAUAAACAUUUCCUUUCCUGGACAGAAGGGAAUUGCUGUCCUUGAUUUGUAUCACUAAGUGGAACAGAAUUGUAAGCAACAGACUGAUAGAAUCUCAAAUAGGAGCAACACUAAAAAGGACCAAUUGGCACCUUUGCAAGAGCAGCAGUGAUAUGGCUCCCAGUGUUGUCUGUGGGUGACAGGCAGUGUGACUGUCAGUCACAGAUGGGUCAUGACUCAUCAGACCUUAACCUUCACUAGGCUUAGUCCUGAGCCAUGUGAGUAGAAGACACAUUCUUCUAUACAUGCACCUCAGGCCCAAUGAGCACCAGGCCCUAAAGCCUGACUCAAACUAGACUCAUUUAUAAAUUAGUAAACAGUUGUCAACAAGAAUCCCAGAAGACCGUCAAUGGGGGAGACACCUUUUAACAAAUACCUGAUAGCAGAAUGUCUCUGUAACCGUGGACUCUUUCCCUCAAACCAUAU